ACGCAUGUUGCAACCCCGGGCUUCUCCGAAUUAUCUAUGAAGUGAAAGCCCCAUUGCACAUGCAAAAUCGAUGCCGUUCGUGUUGCAGUUCAUCUCGUAUUUCCACGAUAGAUCUGUGUCAAAGUAAUGGCAACAUUU